rnacentral:rRNA from 1 species
UGGGGAAUAUUGCACAAUGGGCGCAAGCCUGAUGCAGCCAUGCCGCGUGUAUGAAGAAGGCCUUCGGGUUGUAAAGUACUUUCAGCGGGGAGGAAGGCGAUAAGGUUAAUAACCUUGUCGAUUGACGUUACCCGCAGAAGAAGCACCGGCUAACUCCGUGCCAGCAGCCGCGGUAAUACGGAGGGUGCAAGCGUUAAUCGGAAUUACUGGGCGUAAAGCGCACGCAGGCGGUCUGUCAAGUCGGAUGUGAAAUCCCCGGGCUCAACCUGGGAACUGCAUUCGAAACUGGCAGGCUAGAGUCUUGUAGAGGGGGGUAGAAUUCCAGGUGUAGCGGUGAAAUGCGUAGAGAUCUGGAGGAAUACUGGUGGCGAAGGCGGCCCCCUGGACAAAGACUGACGCUCAGGUGCGAAAGCGUGGGGAGCAAACU